GACAGAGGGUGCAAACGUUGUUCGGAAUUACUGGGCGUAAAGCGCGUGUAGGCGGCUGGGCAAGUCGGAUGUGAAAGCCCUGGGCUCAACCGAGGAAGUGCAUUCGAAACUGCCGAGCUGGAGUUCUGGAGAGGAAGGCGGAAUUCUCGGUGUAGAGGUGAAAUUCGUAGAUAUCGAGAGGAACACCGGUGGCGAAGGCGGCUCUCUGGAACGGUACGGACGCUGAGACGCGAAAGCGUGGGGAGCAAACAGG
rnacentral:rRNA from 1 species